rnacentral:rRNA from 2 species
GGAUGCGAUCAUACCAGCACUAAAGCAUCGGAUCCCAUCAGAACUCCGAAGUUAAGGGUGCCUGGGCAAGAGUAGUACUAGGAUGGGUGACCUCCUGGGAAGUCCUCGUGUUGCAUUUC